UAUAAAUGCAUGUCUCCAGGCUUGUCUGCAUUACCUUUACCUGCUUAGACAUUUUCCAGUCCAUCAUCAAAGCCACAGAUUUUAAUAAGCUACAUAUCUCUGUAUAUGGUCUCUGUGUAUAUCUCUCCUACUUUGGAAAUAUUUAUCCUCAAAAUGAAUGUUUGUCACAGUUAACAAAGGGCAAGAAUCAGAGUUGGGAGAAUUUUAAAGCUUCUACGAUAACUAACAGUUUGAUGUAUUUCACUUCAUAGGAUGUAACAGGGUGAAUAUUCCAUCCCCGUCAUAAAUAAUGUAGUAAUUUUGAACCUAACAUAUUGCACGUGCUAGGGAAAUAUUCUGUCUCCAAGUUAUAUUCCUGGCUUGUAACUCCAUUCAUCUGCUACAGCUAAUACAGGGCAGACAUCAAGAUGAGCUUUAACUGUCUAUUUGGCCCCCAUAAGAAUGGCCAUGUGAGUAGCUGACAGAAUGCUUUGAAGACUAGGCAUGCUUAUCUGAGAUAGAAGAAGCGCGCCAGUACACAUUACACACUUUACACAGUUUAGUCUGAGAAUGGUUCAUAGUAAACUGUUAUCUCCCUCCACAAAUGCAAGAAGAAGAAACCGUGUUAAUCUAUCUGUAGCAUUUAUCAAAAGAACCAAAGCUAUGCUGAGGAUUCACAAGGAAGUAAGGCAUUAGUGAACACAGACUCCUUCCCAAUAAUGGAAAGAUGGACAGGGAGACACAUGCCACAGUUCAGUGAUUGGUAGUGUAGGAUGAAUGAAGUCUCAGCUGGUUCCAGUGUGUCUACAGGUAUUAUGUCAGAGUCAGUGAAGAAUGAGAAAGUGACCAAUGAAAGGGAGGAACUGAAAUGAACCACCUGCUUCUCUGGCUUUAGAGAUCUUAAAAGCUAUGGUUUGAGAGAAACAGACUUGAAUUUACAAGGAUAAUUGCUUCAUAUAUUAACUCUCUGACUUACUGUGAGUCUCAGGUCAGAUCCAUUCCAGGAGAACUUCAGAAGAAUAAAGCCCCCAUCUGAAAGAAACCUUUCCUCAAUACACUGUGACUUCUGCUGUAGUGAAAGAGUAGCAUCAACCAUCCCUCUCCCUUUCAAGCCUUGCAGAGACACACUCUCGGCCAGAGGCAUGUGGCUUUUGCUGUAGAUACCAUCCACCCAGACAAAUGUGAAGUUUCCACUUAACACUGCUUAGCUGGUGCAUCACAGGCAGGGUUACAAUAUGCAUCUCUGGCUGACUAGAUACAUAUUCUAGGAUGGCUACAAGAGGCCAGAGAUUUCCUGCCUGUGCUCCCAAAGAGCUUGGAUUAAAGACAUGAACAAUCACA